GCAUAUGGGCAGCGCUUUGAAGACUUUCCCUAAAAUACACUCACAGCUGAUCACUGCUUUACAACUGCUUCUACUUUCAGUGAGACACCUACUUGAUUCAUGAAAGACUCGACUCUUUAGCUAGAGAUGCAGCAGGGGUAGGGCAGUGCAACUCUCUAGCUAAAUCAUGAAAACCAAAAGGUGUUUUCGAAUGCCUGAAAUCGAACCAUUUCACGCGAAACCCGCGCCUGAGUCACUCUGCUCCAGUUCUUAGUUACUACUACUACAUUACAUUGCUGGUUCCAUCUGCACUACCAG
rnacentral:lncRNA from 1 species